UACACGAUAGACCAUAAUGCCUGGAAUGGCUUAUGAUUGAAAUGAUUUAUCGCUGUAGGAUGGGACUGCGGCCUAUCAGCUUGUUGGUGGGGUAAUGGCCCACCAAGGCUAUAACAGGUACGGGCUCUGAGAGGAGAAGCCCGGAGAUGGGUACUGAGACACGGACCCAGGCCCUAUGGGGCGCAGCAGGCGAGAAACCUUAGCAAUGUGCGAAAGCACGACUAGGUUAAUCCGAGUGAUUUCUGCUGAAGAAAUCUUUUGUCAGUUCUAAAAAUACCGAUGAAUAAGGGGUGGGCAAGUCUGGUGCCAGCCGCCGCGGUAAUACCAGCACCUCGAGUGGUCAGGAUGUUUAUUGGGCCUAAAGCAUCCGUAGCCGGCUUUGCAAGUCUCCGGUUAAAUCCAGCUGCCUAACAGAUGGGCUGCCGGAGAUACUACAAAGCUAGGGAGCGGGAGAGGCAGACGGUAUUCGGUGGGUAGGGGUAAAAUCCUCUGAUCCAUUGAGGACCACCAGUGGCGAAGGCGGUCUGCCAGAACGCGUUCGACGGUGAGGGAUGAAAGCUGGGGGAGCAAACCGGAUUAGAUACCCGGGUAGUCCCAGCUGUAAACGAUGCAAACUCGGUGAUGCAUUGGCUUAUGGCCAAUGCAGUGCCGCAGGGAAGCCGUUAAGUUUGCCGCCUGGGAAGUACGGUCGCAAGACUGAAACUUAAAGGAAUUGGCGGGGGGAGCACCACAAGGGGUGAAGCCUGCGGUUCAAUUG
rnacentral:rRNA from 1 species